ACGGGUGAGUAAUGUCUGGGAAACUGCCUGAUGGAGGGGGAUAACUACUGGAAACGGUAGCUAAUACCGCAUAACGCGCAAGACCAAAGAGGGGGACCUUCGGGCCUCUUGCCAUCGGAUGUGCCCAGAUGGGAUUAGCUAGUAGGUGGGGUAACGGCUCACCUAGGCGACGAUCCCUAGCUGGUCUGAGAGGAUGACCAGCCACACUGGAACUGAGACACGGUCCAG
rnacentral:rRNA from 1 species